rnacentral:lncRNA from 1 species
GUUUUGAAGUGUACCCUUAUAUUUGCCCUAAAUCUAAAAGCUGAGAGUUCACGCUAUCCAUUCCACGCCGCCUCACAUCACACAUGCCUGUGCCUCUUCUCUAAGCAUUGAGCUCCACCACUUCCAGCAAGUUCACUGUCCACCGUCCGACCUCCACUCUCCUCCCGACAUCGACCGAUUAACCAUCACGGCUAACUCGGGUCAUCGAUCUCUAGUCUCUCUCUCCACUCUCCUCCCGACAUCGACCGAUUAACCAUCGCGGCUAACU